AAUCAUUUGUUAUGGGAGUUUCUCCUCCACUAGAUUGAACUCAUGUGUAUCUGCAGUGCCUAACACAGAGCCAGCAAUGUGGCAGGAUUCCAGGACAUAUUUUUGCUGAAUAUCGGAAGGAGUGUGUGUAAGCAUAAAACAUAGAACAUAAUGUUCACAUUAAAACAACAACAAGCGAUAUAUGAUUUCUUCUGUUUUUAACCAAUAAUAAAUAGAUACAAUUCACUUUUACUUCAUUAUUAAAUAAAUAUUACAGCAUGUACUUUAAAGGUAUCUGGUAGACUUUAGCAGUACUGUCUCUCAAUAGAAUUUGUGCAACGAUGGAAACAUCUAUGUUGUCCAGUGUGGUAGCCACUAGCCACGUGUGGCUCUUGAGCACUUGGAGUGGCUAGAUCAACCAAGGAACUUAAUUUGUAAUCUUUUUUAAUUUUAAUUAAUUUAAAUUUGAAUGGCCAUAUGUGGCCAGCGCCUGCUGUAUUGAAGAGUGAAGCUCUAUAGUACUUUGUGAAAAAUUCUCAGAGUUCACGUACAGGUUCAAGGGUUAUUUUAAGGACGCCCUGGAUUCAGGAAGUAAAUUGGUAUCAUCACUUGAGUCAUCUGAAACACAAAACAGAAUCCAUCUGAGUUUACGAAUUAUUUUUAUUUAUAUGAAAUGUUAACUCACUUUUAAAAAUUAUUCUAUUUUGCUUAGCUUCAUUAAAUAUUGCAUGAUAGGGACCAAACUAGGGAAGCAAUAUUUGUGUUCAUUCAAAUAGAAUUAACCUUUCUUUUCCUCCCUCAGGAUUGGUUAAACGAUUUGGUUUCUAAGCUCAUGCUAAUAGGUAAUUUCUUUGGUUCUACAGAGCACAACAACAAACAGGCGCAUUCCAGUACCGGGAAGGUGCUAUUCAGUGGUACAGGACUCCAAGGGGCGGCUCAGUAAAGCAGAGCUAAGCUUGGCUACUAGAGUUUCAACCUUCAGAUUGUACCUGCCUUUCAGGUCACAGCACCAGAAGUCCUGUUUGGAAAGAGAAAGCCGUGGUGCACGGUAUUUACCUGCAGAUUUCUGAGAAGCUCUGCAAUUUGAAAUUUUCGGUGGAAUU
rnacentral:lncRNA from 1 species